rnacentral:rRNA from 1 species
AGCAGCCGCGGUAAUUCCAGCUCCAAUAGCGUAUAUUAAAGUUGUUGCAGUUAAAAAGCUCGUAGUUGAAUUUCGGGAUCAAUAUAUCGGUCGUGCUUCGGUAUGUACUGGUAUUAUUGAUUUCUCCCUUCUAACGAACUAUGAUGUCAUUAAUUUGGUGUUAUGGGGAAUCAGGACUGUUACUUUGAAAAAAUUAGAGUGUUUAAAGCAGGCACACGCUUGAAUACAUUAGCAUGG